rnacentral:rRNA from 1 species
GAGGAAUAUUGCGCAAUGGACGAAAGUCUGACGCAGCAACGCCGCGUGAGGGAUGAAGCUUUUAGGAGUGUAAACCUCUGUUAGGAGGGAAGAACGUCUUUAAUGCGAACAGUGUUAGAGAGUGACGGUACCUCCAGAGUAAGCCCCGGCUAACUCCGUGCCAGCAGCCGCGGUAAUACGGGGGGGGCAAACGUCGUCCGGAAUUAUUGGGCGUAAAGGGCGCGUAGGCGGAUCGGUCAGUCAGAGGUGAAAGCUCAUGGCUUAACUUUGAGUUUGCCUCUGAUACUGCCGUUCUUGAGUUCGGAAGAGGGAAGUGGAAUUCCUGGUGUAGCGGUGAAAUGCGUAGAUAUCAGGAAGAACACCGGUGGCGAAGGCGGCUCCCUGGUCCGAGACUGACGCUGAUGCGCGAAAGCGUGGGGAGCAAACAGGAUUAGAUACCCUAGUAGUCCACGCUGUAAAUGAUGGGUACUAGGUGUUGGGUGUUAUAGCUCAGCGCCGGAGCCAACGCAUUAAGUACCCCGCCUGGGGAUUACGAUCGCAAGAUUG